GAAUUCGAUUCAGGCCUAACACAUGCAAGUCGAACGAGAUUAUAGGGUAAGCUUGCUUACCUUAUAUGACAGUGGCGCACGGGUGCGUAACGCGUAUGCAAUCUACCUUAAUCAGGGGGAUAGCCUCUCGAAAGAGAGAUUAAUACCGCAUAACAUUAUGAUAUGGCAUCAUAUUAUAAUCAGACAUUUAUGGGAUUAAGAUGAGCAUGCGUGACAUUAGCUAGUUGGUGAGGUAACGGCUCACCAAGGCAACGAUGUCUAGGGGAUCUGAGAGGAUGACCCCCCACACUGGUACUGAGACACGGACCAGACUCCUACGGGAGGCAGCAGUAAGGAAUAUUGGUCAAUGGACGCAAGUCUGAACCAGCCAUGCCGCGUGCAGGAAGACGGCCCUACGGGUUUAAAGGGCUUUUAUACGGGAAU
rnacentral:rRNA from 1 species